rnacentral:rRNA from 1 species
GCAGGCGUUUGCUCAUUUGAAUACAUUAGCAUGGAAUA